GAUGAACGCUAGCGGAGGCUUAACACAUGCAAGUCGAGGGGCAGCAUAGGGUAGCAAUACUCUGAUGGCGACCGGCAAACGGGUGAGUAACGCGUAUGCAACCUACCCUGUACAGGGGGAUAACCCGGAGAAAUUCGGACUAAUAUCCCGUAAUAAUAUCCGGAGGCAUCUUUGGAUAUUAAAGUUCCGACGGUACGGGAUGGGCAUGCGUAACAUUAACUGGUUGGUAAGGUAACGGCUUACCAAGGCUAUGAUGUUUAGGGGUCCUGAGAGGGUGGUCCCCCACACUGGUACUGAGACACGGACCAGACUCCUACGGGAGGCAGCAGUGAGGAAUAUUGGUCAAUGGGCGCAAGCCUGAACCAGCCAUCCCGCGUGCAGGAAGACGGCCCUAUGGGUUGUAAACUGCUUUUCCAGGGAGAGAAACUUACGCACGUGUUGCGUGACUGACGGUACCCUGGGAAUAAGCAUCGGCUAACUCCGUG
rnacentral:rRNA from 1 species